CCUGCCACUAGAGGAGUUUCAGGUGUGGCUGCUAUGUCACAUGUGUAUCAGUAGGUGGCAGAGAGGAGAGAGGUUAUGUCUUUGCUCAGUGUUCUGACCUGUGAACUUGUGAAUGAUUAAUAGCUUAACACU